rnacentral:rRNA from 1 species
GAUGAACGCUGACAGAAUGCUUAACACAUGCAAGUCUUUGGCGAAGCUGUGCUUGCACAGCCUAGCCAAGGCGGACGGGUGAGUAACGCGUAAGGAACUUGCCCUGCAGUCAGGGAUAACAGACGGAAACGACUGAUAAGACCUGGUAAAGUCAGGCGGACUCAUGUCCAGCCUGAUGAAAAGUGAUGCUGCAGGAGAGCCUUGCGUCCUAUUAGCUUGUUGGUGGGGUAACGGCCCACCAAGGCGAUGAUAGGUAGCCGGCCUGAGAGGGUGGACGGCCACAAGGGGACUGAGAUACGGCCCUUACUCCUACGGGAGGCAGCAGUGGGGAAUAGUGGACAAUGGGGGCAACCCUGAUCCAGCAAUUCUGUGUGCACGAUGAAGGUUUUCGGAGUGUAAAGUGCUUUCAGCAGGGAAGAAAAAAAUGACGGUACCUGCAGAAGAAGCGACGGCUAAAUACGUG